GUCCACACUGUAAACGAUGAUAGCUAGGUGUGGGGUCGUGACCCCUUCCGUGCCGGAGUUAACGCAAUAAGCUAUCCACCUGGGGAGUACGGCCGCAAGGUUGAAACUCAAAGGAAUUGACGGGGCCCGGCACAAGCAGUGGAUUAUGUGGUUUAAUUCGAAGCAACGCGAAGAACCUUACCAGGUCUUGACAUCCAACUAACGAGAUAGAGAUAUGUUAGGUGCCCUUCGGGGAAAGUUGAGACAGGUGGUGCAUGGUUGUCGU
rnacentral:rRNA from 1 species